rnacentral:rRNA from 1 species
GAUGAACGCUGGCGGCGUGCUUAACACAUGCAAGUCGAACGGAAAGGCCCAAGCUUGCUUGGGUACUCGAGUGGCGAACGGGUGAGUAACACGUGGGUGAUCUGCCCUGCACUUCGGGAUAAGCCUGGGAAACUGGGUCUAAUACCGGAUAGGACCACUGCUUGGAUGUUGUGGUUGAAAGUUUUCUCGGUGUGGGAUGAGCUCGCGGCCUAUCAGCUUGUUGGUGGGGUAAUGGCCUACCAAGGCGUCGACGGGUAGCCGGCCUGAGAGGGUGUACGGCCACAUUGGGACUGAGAUACGGCCCAGACUCCUACGGGAGGCAGCAGUGGGGAAGAUUGCACAAUGGGCGAAAGCCUGAUGCAGCGACGCCGCGUGGGGGAUGACGGCCUUCGGGUUGUAAACUCCUUUCGCUAGGGACGAAGCGUUUUUGUGACGGUACCUGGAGAAGAAGCACCGGCUAACUACGUG